rnacentral:rRNA from 1 species
UACGUAGGGGGCGAGCGUUGUCCGGAUUUAUUGGGCGUAAAGAGCUCGUAGGCGGUUUGGCAAGUCGGGUGUGAAAACUCCGGGCUCAACUCGGAGGCGCCACUCGAUACUGCUAUGACUCGAGUCCGGUAGGGGAGUGCGGAAUUCCUGGUGUAGCGGUGAAAUGCGCAGAUAUCAGGAGGAACACCGGUGGCGAAGGCGGCACUCUGGGCCGGUACUGACGCUGAGGAGCGAAAGCGUGGGGAGCGAACAGG